UAGUACAGCGAUGGAAAGGUGAAAAGAACCCCGGGAGGGGAGUGAAAUAGAUCCUGAAAUUGUGUGCCUACAAGGAGUCGGAGCCCCUUCGGGGGUGACGGCGUGCUUUUUGUAGAACGAUCCAGCGAGUUAAUUUCGUGCGCAAGGUUAAGUCAAUUGACGGAGCCACAGUGAAAGCGAGCCUGAAUAGGGCGAUUUAGUGCGCGGAAUUAGACCCGAAACCGGGUGACCUAACCAUGAGCAGGUUGAAGCUACUGUAACAGGUAGUGGAGGACCGAACCAGGGUACGCAGCAAAGUGCUUGGAUGACUUGUGGUUAGCGGUGAAAUGCCAAUCGAACCCGGAGAUAGCUGGUUCUCCUCGAAACAGUUUUAGGACUGGCGUCGUGUGGUAGCAUACGGGGGUAGAGCUCUGUAAAGGACUGGGGGGAGCAAUCCUACCCACCCUUAACAAACUACGAAUACCGUAUGUGGAAUCGCGGCAGUUAGAACGGCGGAGCUAAGUUCGUCGCUCGAAAGGGAAACAGCCCAGACCAUCGUCUAAGGUCCCUAAAUUUACGUUCAGUGGGAAACAAGGUGAGAUUUCUUAAACAGCUAGGAUGUUGGCUUAGAAGCAGCCAUUCAUUUAAAGAGUGCGUAACAGCUCACUAGUCAAGAGAUCUUGCGUGGAAAAUGUAACGGGGCUAAAACGUAAUACCGAAGACAUGGAUGCAUAGUUUACUAUGCGUGGUAGAGGAGCGUUCCUAUCUGCAGUGAAGUCAGAUCGUGAGGUCUGGUGGAGCGUUAGGAAGUGAGAAUGCUGGAAUGAGUAACCAUAAGAUAGGUGAGAAUCCUGUCGGCCGUAAGAGCAAGGUUUCCUGAGCUAUGGUAAUCAUCUCAGGGUUAGUCGGGCCUAAGCCGAGGCGCAUAGCGUAGGCGAUGGACAUCAGGUUAAUAUUCCUGAACUGGCGUAUUUUGUACACUGUUCACGGUGAGAUAUUCGGAGCGGAUUCAUGGUAUGUAUCCGUCCAACCCAGCGGGAACGCGAGGGAAGAGAAAGUUACCCUUCGGGGUGAUGAUUCCGGAAAAGGCACUGGCAAGAAAAGCAGAUGUACGUGUGAAUAUUGCCACCCGUACCGCAAACCAACACAGGUGCUCGAGUCGAGUAGACUCAGGCUUACGAGAGAACCCUCGCUAAGGAACUCGGCAAUACAGCGACCGUAACUUCGGGAUAAGGUCUGCCCCCCACUUCGGUGGAUAUAUUGUCAGUUUCAAGCGAUAUACGGUUUGAAUAAUAAAACGAGUAUACCUUUUAAAUAUUCAACGAUAGAACAUCCAAACGAGCGCCACGUUCAUUUAUUGAGUGUGACCGAGUAAGGAAGUUCUUGGUCUGAUCUAAACAAUCAGAUAAUUCUUACUGAGAUAGUAUAACAAGAUUAAAUCUUUAGCUUGAAGCUGAAGUCCAAUACAUCUAACGAUGUGGGGGGCCGCAGCAAAAGAGCCCACGGAACUGUUUAUCAAAAACACAGGUCUCUGCUAACACGAAAGUGGAUGUAUAGGGGCUGACUCCUGCCCGGUGCUGGAAGGUUAAGGGGAGCGCUUUACGGUGCGAACUGAAGCCCCAGUGAACGGCGGCGGUAACUAUAACCGUCCUAAGGUAGCGAAAUUCCUUGUCAGGUAAGUUCUGACCCGCACGAAUGGAGUAAUCAUGUGGGCACUGUCUCAGCGAGGGCCUCGGUGAAAGUGCAUUGGCGGUAAAGAUGCCGUCUGUCCAUACCAGGACGAGAAGACCCCAUGGAGCUUUACUACAGUUUUACAUUGAUCCGGGUUUCAACAUGUGUAGCAUAGUUGGGAGGCUUUGAAGCAGAUACGCUAGUAUUUGUGGAGCCGCAACGUGAAAUACCAACCUUGUUGUGAUCUUGAUCUCACGUUUGCCGUUAUCCGGCAAGCGGACCGUGUAUGAUGGGUAGUUUAACUGGGGCGGUUGCCUCCUAAAGAGUAGCGGAGGCGUUCAAAGGUUGGCUAACUUCGGAUGGAAAUCGAAGUGAUAGUGUAUGCGCACAAGCCAGCUUGACUGUGAGGAUUACAAUCCAAUCAGAGACGAAAGUCGGAGCAAGUGACCCGCUGUACGUACAUUUGUACAUGAACGUGGGAUCGACAGCGCACACGGAUAAAAGUUACCCUGGGGAUAACAGGCUUAUAGCGCCCAAUAGUUCACAUAGACGGCGCUGUUUGGCACCUCGAUGUCGGCUCAUCACAUCCUGGAGGGGGAGCACCUUCCAAGGGUUCGGCUGUUCGCCGAUUAAAGUGGUACGCGAGCUGGGUUCAGAACGUCGUGAGACAGUUCGGUUUAUAUCCGGUAUGGACGUCAGGAAAUUUGAGAGGAUCUGCCCCUAGUACGAGAGGACCGGGGUGGACGAACCUCUGGUGUAUCGAUUGUGGCCACCUGCUGCAUUGUCGAGUAGCUAUGUUCGGUCUAGAUAAGCGCUGAAAGCAUAUUAAGCGCGAAACUAACCUCAAGAUUAGAUUUCCCUAUGAGGACACAGAGAGACUAUCUGUUUGA
rnacentral:rRNA from 1 species